CGUAGGGCGCAAGCGUUGUCCGGAAUUAUUGGGCGUAAAGAGCUCGUAGGCGGCUUGUCACGUCGGAUGUGAAAGCCCGGGGCUUAACCCCGGGUCUGCAUUCGAUACGGGCAGGCUAGAGUGUGGUAGGGGAGAUCGGAAUUCCUGGUGUAGCGGUGAAAUGCGCAGAUAUCAGGAGGAACACCGGUGGCGAAGGCGGAUCUCUGGGCCAUUACUGACGCUGAGGAGCGAAAGCGUGGGGAGCGAACAGGAUUAGAUACCCUGGUAGUCCACGCCGUAAACGUUGGGAACUAGGUGUUGGCGACAUUCCACGUCGUCGGUGCCGCAGCUAACGCAUUAAGUUCCCCGCCUGGGGAGUACGGCCGCAAGGCUA
rnacentral:rRNA from 1 species